AGAGUUUGAUCCUGGCUCAGAUUGAACGCUGGCGGCAGGCCUAACACAUGCAAGUCGAGCGGCAGCGGGAAGAUAGCUUGCUAUCUUUGCCGGCGAGCGGCGGACGGGUGAGUAAUGCCUAGGGAUCUGCCCAGUCGAGGGGGAUAACAGUUGGAAACGACUGCUAAUACCGCAUACGCCCUACGGGGGAAAGGAGGGGACCUUCAGGCCUUCCGCGAUUGGAUGAACCUAGGUGGGAUUAGCUAGUUGGUGAGGUAAUGGCUCACCAAGGCGACGAUCCCUAGCUGUUCUGAGAGGAUGAUCAGCCACACUGGGACUGAGACACGGCCCAGACUCCUACGGGAGGCAGCAGUGGGGAAUAUUGCACAAUGGGGGAAACCCUGAUGCAGCCAUGCCGCGUGUGUGAAGAAGGCCUUCGGGUUGUAAAGCACUUUCAGUAGGGAGGAAAGGUAGCAGCUUAAUACGCUGUUGCUGUGACGUUACCUACAGAAGAAGGACCGGCUAACUUCGUGCCAGCAGCCGCGGUAAUACGGAGGGUCCCGAGCGUUUAUCGGAAUUACUGGGCGUAAAGCGUGCGCAUGCGGUUUGUUAAGCGAGAUGUGAAAGCCCUCGGGCUUAACCUGGGAAUUGCAUUUUCGAACUGGCGAACUAGAGUCUUGUAGAGGGGGGUAGAAUUCUCAGUGUAGCAGUUGAAAUGCGUAUAGAUCUGGAGGAAUACCGGUGGCGAAAGCUGUCCCCCUGUACAAAUGCUGACUCUCAGCACGAAGCUAUGUGUAGCAAACAGGAUAGAUACUCUGUUGUCUCUCCGUAUAUAUGUCUACUCGAUUUUGUGUCCUGUCAUCUGUCUCUUCUCUAUAGUCAUUAUUUUAUCGCU
rnacentral:rRNA from 1 species